UGUCGAGAGUCUUGUAAUGUUUUUGUCUCUGCCGGCCCUGGCGGUAUUGUUUGAUUUGAUAGAAGGUGAUGAAGUUGGAGGUAAUAUAAUAUUGAACGCGCGUUAACGUAUUGGACUGGAAGUGUUGUGGCGCCCUUUUCUGAGCCGGUUAUGAGAUACAGUUGUUCAGUGGAGAAAUUGUGCUUGUGUGGGACUUACUCCAAGCGUAAUACUUUCAGCAUAACCAUAUUACAAAAAUACGUGGUAAGGUGUUACUGGUAACUUGAAAAGAACCCGUGAGCCCACCACCAGGUGUUGACAGCUCUCAAGCCUUGAUAUACACCGGUGCAGAUCCAGCAUUCCAGGCACAGAUACCACCAACCCUGCCAUUGUCAGCUAAAUGAUUUUCCACUGUUUGGUAGAUUGCAGUUACACAAUUCCAGUAUUGUACAAAUUUAAAGCCCUUCAGUACCAUCUAGUAGCCUCUAAACAAAAAGUCGGAUUUUAUUAUCUAGCAAAGUGGCUAAUCCAUCCAGUUUUUGUCUGUAAUCAACUAGCCACAUAAGUAUGUGGUAUAAUUCCAGGUGUUUAACAUUGUGUUUUUUAGUGAUCAGAUGUGAUUAGAGUUCAUGCUUAUUUCUCUUCCACUCACACAGUUACAUUAAACUUUUCAUUCUCUUACCAUUA